GGCGCUAUGGCUGUGUGGUAAAGUGCUUCGUUUUCGAACCGGAGGGUCCCGGGUUCAAAUCCUGGUGAAGUCG
rnacentral:tRNA from 1 species